AUUCCAUGAUGAAGACACUUACGAAGUAACUCCUUGAAUCGCUUCCAAGCCUCAUACAAAGACUCGUCAUCCAAUUGUUGGAAAGUUGAGAUCCUGUUCCUCAACUU
rfam:Gossypium arboreum cultivar AKA8401 contig_41795_1, whole genome shotgun sequence.